AUUGAACGCUGGCGGCAUGCCUUACACAUGCAAGUCGAACGGCAGCACGGGUGCUUGCACCUGGUGGCGAGUGGCGAACGGGUGAGUAAUACAUCGGAACGUACCUUAUCGUGGGGGAUAACGCAGCGAAAGCUGUGCUAAUACCGCAUACGCCCUUAGGGGGAAAGCGGGGGAUCGCAAGACCUCGCGCGAUUAGAGCGGCCGAUGCCUGAUUAGCUUGUUGGUGGGGUAAAAGCCCACCAAGGCGACGAUCAGUAGCUGGUCUGAGAGGACGAUCAGCCACACUGGGACUGAGACACGGCCCAGACUUCUACGGGAGGCAGCAGUGGGGAAUUUUGGACAAUGGGGGCAACCCUGAUCCAGCAAUGCCGCGUGAGUGAAGAAGGCCUUCGGGUUGUAAAGCUCUUUUGUCAGGGAAGAAACACCGGCUCUAACACAGUCCGGGAAUGACGGUACCUGAAGAAUAAGCACCGGCUAACUACGUGCCAGCAGCCGCGGUAA
rnacentral:rRNA from 1 species